CAAUAGCGUAUAUUAAAGUUGUUGCAGUUAAAAAGCUCGUAGUUGGAUUUGUGGUUGGGUCCGUCGGUCCGGCACAUUGUGCGGGUACUUGAUGGACUCGUCCAUCCUUGGGUGGAAUCUGUGUGGCAUUAAGUUGUCGUGCAGGGGAUGCCCAUCGUUUACUGUGAAAAAUUAGAGUGUUCAAAGCAGGCUUAUGCCGUUGAAUAUAUUAGCAUGGAAUAAUAAGAUAUGACUUUGGUCUAUUUUGUUGGUUUGCACUCCAAAGUAAUGAUUAAUAGGGAUAGUUGGGGGUAUUCGUAUUCAAUUGUCAGAGGUGAAAUUCUUGGAUUUAUGGAAGACGAACUACUGCGAAAGCAUUUACCAAGGAUGUUUUCAUUAAUCAAGAACGAAAGUUAGGGGAUCGAAGAUGAUUAGAUACCAU
rnacentral:rRNA from 1 species